GAUGAACGCUAGCGGCAGGCUUAACACAUGCAAGUCGAGGGGUAGAGGAAGCUUGCUUCCUUGAGACCGGCGCACGGGUGCGUAACGCGUAUGCAAUCUACCUUCAACAGGGGGAUAGCCCAGAGAAAUUUGGAUUAAUACCCCAUAGUAUUUUUGCCUGGCAUCAGGUGAUUAUUAAAGUUCCAACGGUUGAAGAUGAGCAUGCGUCCCAUUAGCUAGAUGGUAAGGUAACGGCUUACCAUGGCUCCGAUGGGUAGGGGUCCUGAGAGGGAGAUCCCCCACACUGGUACUGAGACACGGACCAGACUCCUACGGGAGGCAGCAGUGAGGAAUAUUGGUCAAUGGGCGCAAGCCUGAACCAGCCAUGCCGCGUGCAGGAAGACGGUCCUAUGGAUUGUAAACUGCUUUUGUACGGGAAGAAACACUCCUACGUGUAGGAGCUUGACGGUACCGUAAGAAUAAGGAUCGGCUAACUCCGUGCCAGCAGCCGCGGUAACAC
rnacentral:rRNA from 1 species